AACGAACGCUGGCGGCAGGCUUAACACAUGCAAGUCGAACGCCCCGCAAGGGGAGUGGCAGACGGGUGAGUAACGCGUGGGAAUCUACCCAGAUCUACGGAACAACAGAGGGAAACUUCUGCUAAUACCGUAUACGCCCUACGGGGGAAAGAUUUAUCGGAUUUGGAUGAGCCCGCGUAAGAUUAGCUAGUUGGUGAGGUAAUGGCUCACCAAGGCGACGAUCUUUAGCUGGUCUGAGAGGAUGAUCAGCCACACUGGGACUGAGACACGGCCCAGACUCCUACGGGAGGCAGCAGUGGGGAAUAUUGGACAAUGGGCGCAAGCCUGAUCCAGCCAUGCCGCGUGAGUGAUGAAGGCCUUAGGGUUGUAAAGCUCUUUCAGUAGGGAAGAUAAUGACGGUACCUACAGAAGAAGCCCCGGCUAACUUCGUGCCAGCCGCCGCUGUAAAAC
rnacentral:rRNA from 1 species